GAAUUUUGCGCAAUGGCCGCAAGGCUGACGCAGCAACGCCGCGUGAGUGAAGAAGGCCUUCGGGUUGUAAAGCUCUGUUGCCCGUGACGAACGGCAGCCUCAGGAAAUGGGGGUUGUUUGACGGUAGCGGGAGAGGAAGCCCCGGCUAACUACGUGCCAGCAGCCGCGGUAAUACGUAGGGGGCGAGCGUUGUCCGGAUUUAUUGGGCGUAAAGGGCGUGUAGGCGGUCUGCUAAGUCAGAGGUGAAAAUCCAGGGCUCAACCCUGGAACUGCCUCUGAAACUGGUGGACUUGAGUGCUCUAGAGGGCAGUGGAAUUCCGGGUGUAGCAGUGAAAUGCGUAGAGAUCCGGAGGAACACCAGUGGCGAAGGCGACUGUCUGGGGAGCAACUGACGCUGAGGCGCGAAAGCUGGGGGAGCAAAC
rnacentral:rRNA from 1 species